rnacentral:rRNA from 1 species
GAUGAACGCUGGCGGCGUGCCUAAUACAUGCAAGUCGAGCGAAUGGAUUAAGAGCUUGCUCUUAUGAAGUUAGCGGCGGACGGGUGAGUAACACGUGGGUAACCUGCCCAUAAGACUGGGAUAACUCCGGGAAACCGGGGCUAAUACCGGAUAACAUUUUGAACCGCAUGGUUCGAAAUUGAAAGGCGGCUUCGGCUGUCACUUAUGGAUGGACCCGCGUCGCAUUAGCUAGUUGGUGAGGUAACGGCUCACCAAGGCAACGAUGCGUAGCCGGCCUGAGAGGGUGGUCGGCCACACGGGGACUGAGGCACGGCCCAGACUCCUACGGGAGGCAGCAGUAGGGAAUCUUCCGCAAUGGACGAAAGUCUGACGGAGCAACGCCGCGUGAGUGAUGAAGGCUUUCGGGUCGUAAAACUCUGUUGUUAGGGAAGAACAAGGGCUAGUUGAAUAAGCUGGCACCUUGACGGUACCUAACCAGAAAGCCACGGCUAACUACGUGCCAGCCGCCGCAGUAA